rnacentral:rRNA from 1 species
GAUGAACGCUGGCGGCGUGCUUAACACAUGCAAGUCGAACGGAAGGGCCAUGCUCUUGCGGGGUGCUCGAUUGGCGAACGGGUGAGUAACACGUGAGUAAACCGCACUUGACUUUGGGAGAACUUUAGGGAAAUGCGGCUAAUACCCGGUAUGAGCUUCUGAUCCAUGUGGGGGGUUGGAAAGAUUCGGUGGUUGGGGAAGGACUCGAGGUUUAUCCGCUUGUUGGUCGGGUAGUGAAUUACCAAGGCUUUGACGGCAAGCCGGCCUGGGAGGGUGACCGGCUACAUUGGGACUGGGAUGCGGCCCAGACGCCUACGGGAGGCAGGAGUGGGAGAUAUAGCGCGAUGGGCGGAGGGCUGAUGGAGCAUCGCCGCGUGCGGGAUGACGGCUUUCGGGGUGUAAACCGCUUGCGACUGACUCGGCGCGUCAGUGAGGGUAAUAGGUAGAGAAGCACCGGCUAACUACGU